AGUGGCUGAUGAAUCCCAAAUAGGACGAAAUGCGCAUCCCAGAU
rnacentral:hammerhead_ribozyme from 1 species